CCCACUCGGAAGACUCAGAGGAGGAAACACAACUCUCUCUCUGACACUGCCUUGAGAUAAACACUCUGGUUCUCGGUUUCCUCUUCUGGAAAAGUUGAAGAUACCACGUCAAAGCUUUACGGAAAACUGUGAAAGGCCCCACACAAAUGUAAGGUAGUCACCAGCCAAAAAUGCAAAAUUUAUUGAGCAACUACUGACUGCCAGACACUUGCUGGAUGCUUUGACGAAAUUGGCAUGAAUGUCACCACUUCAAGAGGCCCGCCCUGACCGCCCGGUUAAGACUUGCCAUGAGCAGGAGCCACGGAUAUCCAUGCUAAGCACAGUGCCCGCCGCCAGUAGUCCCUCAAAUACUUGUUAAUGAGCACGUGACUGUCUCUGAUCUUCACGGCAGCCCCAGGGAGGCAUUAUUAUCAUGCCCAUUAUACAGAAGAAGAAACUGAGGUUCAGCGAGUCAAAGAGACUCCCUUAAGGAUGCAGUUUGUUUUUCACCAGACUUUAGCUCUGCUUCUUCCCCUUGAAGGAUUUCAAGAACGAGAGGGUCAGAAGAGAAAGUGUGGGCCCAGCAAAAUGGCUCCCCGGUUCAGCCGCCACCCCGUGCUCAGCCUUCCCCAGCUGAGUUCUUCCAACCUCUCAUCACACUGAAGUAGCUUCGAGUCAUCAACCCACAGCCACAGAGCUGAGGCCAGCCCAAACUGGCCUGUUUAUUUCCCAAGCCAAGUGACAGCCAGCCCUUCCCCUCCCUCCAGAGCAAUAUACAGCUGGGAGCCCACGCCCCACUCUUCAAACCUGACACAGCAGAUAAAUUAGUGAAGUCUUUUAUAAAACAUUGUACAGGGAAAAUACACACAUAUAUAUAGGGCCA